GAUGAACGCUGGCGGCGUGCCUAAUACAUGCAAGUCGAGCGAACAGACGAGGAGCUUGCUCCACUGACGUUAGCGGCGGACGGGUGAGUAACACGUGGAUAACCUACCUAUAAGACUGGGAUAACUUCGGGAAACCGGAGCUAAUACCGGAUAAUAUAUUGAACCGCAUGGUUCAAUAGUGAAAGACGCUUUCGCUGUCACCUAUAGAUGGAUCCGCGCCUCAUUAGCUAGUUGGUAAGGUAACGGCUUACCAAGGCAACGAUGCGUAGCCGACCUGAGAGGGUGUACGCCCACACUGGAACUGAGACACGGCCCAAACUCCUACGGGAGGCAGCAGUAGGGAAUCUUCCGCAAUGGGCGAAAGCCUGACGGAGCAACGCCGCGUGAGUGAUGAAGGUCUUCGGAUCGUAAAACUCUGUUAUUAGGGAAGAACAAAUGUGUAAGUAACUAUGCACGUCUUGACGGUACCUAAUCAGAAAGCCACGGCUAACUACGUG
rnacentral:rRNA from 1 species